UCGGCGCGGUGCCCGGGGCGGCGGGAGCUGAGGCAGCGCGGGCCCCGCGCCAGCCCCGCGCCCGCCCCCCCCUGCCCGGCCGAGCGCUCGUGGUACGGCCCGGCCUCUGCCCGGGCGGGCGGCGGGAGGGCCGUGCCCUGCCCCGGAGCUCGCCUGAGGCGCUGCCUGCAGCCAGCGGGGCCAAAGGGCACGGCACGGGCCGAGCCGAGCGGGGCUGCACCGCCAGCCGGCCCCUGCCCUCCACCACGGCCCCGAGGGUGCUCCUGCGGCGUCUGCUUGAAAGAACAGACUGAACAACUCUUUCAAAAUUUUUUCCAAAUUUCGGAAGUUUGAAAUCCUUCGAAAGGAGCACGCUGCCCAGCUGCAGACAGGCGUCCCUGGUGUCCGCACAGAUGUGGCAAAGGAAGUCCUGAGAGCGCUGCUAAAGCCAGAGCUGGAAUUGCAGGCUAAGAAACCUUUGGGAAAAGGUUUGUUGUGCACACGUGGAGCUGGUUAUGCAAUUUCUGCUGGGCUCUGGUCCUGGCCGUGGUUUGCAGACACACUCGGAAAGCAGGAAUACCUGUCCUUUGCUCUGGGUGUUUCUUGGCACAAGUGUAGAAACAAACUACUCUUGCAACUGCUUUCAACCAGGAAUUAACCAAGCAUUCAGCAGGCAAAAAAAGACAUGUAUCCAAGAUCCCUUCAACUUUUCUCCGCAACUGUGUAUGGCUGAGAUUUCUACCAACACUGCAACAACCUUAUGUUCCUCCUACUUUUCUGGUUUAAAGCACAGCUUGUGUCAAAGUACUUGGCAGAUACCAGGAGAAGAAUUUAUGCUUGAUUGUUUUCCUAUUUCAGAUAACCUUUAUGGGAAUCUCGCGUCUGAGCUAUCUCCACAAAGAUUAAAUAAAAUUCAUAUCAGCUCUUU